UUUUUUUCUUUUUCCCUCCUGAAAAGCAAGUUGCCACAUGUACCUGGAAUGCAAAGAUGCAAUCCAGUUGUUCCUCUUAAAAAGCAUUUUUUAAAGAGAGAAUAUCUGAUCUGGAAUAGUUGAUUUAUAUUUCACUCCUGUCUGUCUUUGCUAAUUUCUCUCUUAGAGCCAUAUUAGAGUAGUUUGAAAUAUUUUAUCAGUAAUAAUAUAUUAACAGGGAAAAUGAUCAACCUGGGGCACUGGUUCUCAUAAUUCCUAUUUAGAUCAUGUAUUUUUUUUAACUUAAUUUUUUUGUAAGUUUUUACAAACCAAAUGUUAAUGCAUAUGCUUGAUUGCUAACCACCUCUGGGCAUCAAACCUGUUUUUUCGUGAGUGCAAUAAGUGAUUAUCCAACUCAUGCUGCUCUGAAAAAGAGGUUUUGUUUUAAUAAGCAGUUUGCAGUUUGGCACACAAUGCUGAGGAAAGCAACAUUAUCUCCAGCAGUAAACUCUGCAGUCAUUGCAAAGCUUGACAAGAAAAUGAUUGAGUCUGUUUGUUAUACCUUUGUGGGGCUGCCACUGCUGCUGAUGGAAAUGUUGCUGUUUAUUCAGCAAUGCAAUAACACUUUCUGUAAUUUAUGGAUGCACAUUCCCCAGAUUACUAAAGGUAAUAUUGUUGACUAAAGGAAAGUAUACGAAUGGAUAGUUUCAGUUGUUCCUGUCCUUAUAAAAGUGAUUGACUGUUCACUUUGCACUGAGAAGAAUUUGCACAGGCUUUUCCCCUCCUAACAAUUACAGAUUUCCCUUCCACUGACAGUUACAAAUAACACAGAGGGUUCUAAGUGGCAAAAAUGUACUGACUUCCACAAGUCCAGGUGACAAAAUCCUAGAAAUGCUAGAACUUGCCCCUCCACAGGUUGUGUUUAUACUUUUUAUCAGCCCUUUUCCAUCAGUAACAAGUUCUGUCCCUAUAUGCAAGCAAGUUAAGACUUUUUUUUGUUGUAUUUGUACACAUGGAAGGGGUUGAAAAGUUGAGGGCGGUGUGUGUGUAUUUGUCUAUCUCUCUCCUCCUCUCCAUCCCAACGUAUUUUUUGAGAAGCAAUACCUAUUCACCUGGAUGCCCUUUUGUGACCAUGCAUGUUAAACAAGAACUGUCUAUGCUGUGGAAUUGGCAUGGGAAAAAAAUCAAUGUCGCACUUAUGGUUACCAAAUCUGGGGAAGCAGACAACUCCAGCAAUGCUAAAAUUCAUGCCUUUGCUCUUCCAACAGAAGAAAUCAGAUUUUGGCGUCCAUAGACAAGUUCUCUCUUUUGUCCCUCCUCAGUGAUGGCUCAGGUGUUGGUGCACUGCUUCAGCAGCUUUAGAAUGCCUCUUCCAGUGGUUGUCAUUUUAUGAGAAAGUUUCUAAGCCCACUUAGUACUUGUAUUAUCUCAUAUUGUACUAUAAAAGUGUUGAUAUUCUGUGUUGAAAAAUGUUAGGUGUAAAGGAAGAUUUGAAGAAACAAAAUGGAAAAAAA
rnacentral:lncRNA from 1 species